rnacentral:snoRNA from 1 species
UAUAGUGAUGACAAAUGUCUUGAACAUUUCUAAUGUGGCUAGCUACGGCGAUGAUGUCUACAAAUUAACACCAUCUUUCGGGACUGAUU